rnacentral:lncRNA from 1 species
CUGGGUCUUGGAAAACGAAACAACUCUUUCCCAUGUAGAAACAAGAUGAAACGAAGCAACCAUUUCUCUUCAGUCCUUCUUUUUGCAAUACCACCACCCCCACUGCAGGUUUGCCCCGAAGUCUCUAUUUGUGUUUCUUUUACUCACCUAAUAGAUCUGAUUUGCUGAUCGUUGUAUACGUUUACUGCAGAUCUAUAAAUGACAAACGAAGUGGAUUUCAACCCUCAGGUUAGCAAUCAGGUCCCUGAGAGCAGGCUGCCAUCAAAAGAAGCAAAAAAGAACCAA